AAUUGCUACGUCUUGGACUCUGAUUGCCCCAGUUUGAAUGUGAUACCCUCCUCAGGCCCAGUCACCUGUGGCCAGACAUUGGGAUGUGCUCUACAAAGACGCUGCCAGGAGCCACAGUUGGGAGCUUCCCUGACUAACAGCAGAGGAAAUGAAUCUGUGCCGUCUGUCCCCCAUCUAUAGCCAGCCCUCCAGACUUGUGGGACUUUUCUUCUUCUUGUGAUAGAAAGGAACCCCCAAGGCUGUCCUCCCCACCACCAUUCAAUGGGAGGGUCUUCUGGAGACUGAAGUUCAG